rnacentral:sRNA from 1 species
UGUUGUGUCACCUCCUAACCUCAGAUGCCAGCUCACCAGAUGAGUUUCACAGUGACCUAAGCCACAUCCUUGGGAUACCUCAGAGCUGGCGGCUGUACCUGGUGAACCUGUGCCAAAGGUGCAUGGACACAAGUAUGUACAACUGGCUGGGAGCCCUGCCUGUCCUGCACUGCUGUAUGGAGCUGGCCCCGCGGCACAAGGACGCCUGGAGCCAGCCUGAGGACACCUGGGCCGCUUUGGAGGGAAUCUCCUUCUCACAGUUCCGGGAACAAAUGCUAGAUACGUAAGUCGUAGAGUUGUGCUUAUCUACAUGAAUCUGGGAAGAAUGACUCCUACACUGUGCACCCGGAGUCCCGGUGGGCUCUGCAGUGACUCCAUUCCUGAUUCUAAUGACAGAACUAACACACGCUCUUUUAACAUUUUAAGACAUCAAAACUAUCAAGAAUAGUCUGGGCACAGUGGCUCAGGCCUGUAAUCCCAGCACUUUGGGAGGCUGAGACGGGUGGAUCACCUGAGGUCAGGAGUUCGAGACCAGCCUGG